CGGGGCGUAGCGCAGCUUGGAAGCGCGCCACGUUCGGGACGUGGAGGUCGUUGGUUCAAAUCCAGUCGCCCCGACCA
rnacentral:tRNA from 1 species